rnacentral:rRNA from 1 species
GUGGGGAAUUUUGGACAAUGGGCGCAAGCCUGAUCCAGCCAUUCCGCGUGCAGGAUGAAGGCCUUCGGGUUGUAAACUGCUUUUGUACGGAACGAAACGGUCCGGGUUAAUACCCUGGGCUAAUGACGGUACCGUAAGAAUAAGCACCGGCUAACUACGUGCCAGCAGCCGCGGUAAUACGUAGGGUGCAAGCGGUAAUCGGAAUUACUGGGCGUAAAGCGUGCGCAGGCGGUUUUGUAAGACAGGCGUGAAAUCCCCGGGCUCAACCUGGGAAUUGCGCUUGUGACUGCAAGGCUGGAGUGCGGCAGAGGGGGAUGGAAUUCCGCGUGUAGCAGUGAAAUGCGUAGAUAUGCGGAGGAACACCGAUGGCGAAGGCAAUCCCCUGGGCCUGCACUGACGCUCAUGCACGAAAGCGUGGGGAGCAAACAGGAUUAGAAACCCUAGUAGUCC